rnacentral:rRNA from 1 species
GGAUGAACGCUAGCGACAGGCCUAACACAUGCAAGUCGAGGGGCAGCAUUUCUAGCUUGCUAGAAGAUGGCGACCGGCGCACGGGUGAGUAACGCGUAUGCAACCUACCUUAUACUGGGGGAUAGCCCAGAGAAAUCUGGAUUAAUACCGCAUAACAAUGUUUUAUCGCAUGGUAAGAUAUUUAAAACUCCGGUGGUAUAAGAUGGGCAUGCGUAGCAUUAGUUAGUUGGUGAGGUAACGGCUCACCAAGACGAUGAUGCUUAGGGGGUCUGAGAGGAUAGUCCCCCACACUGGUACUGAGACACGGACCAGACUCCUACGGGAGGCAGCAGUGAGGAAUAUUGGUCAAUGGGCGAAAGCCUGAACCAGCCAUGUCGCGUGCAGGAUGACGGCCCUAUGGGUUGUAAACUGCUUUUUUACAGGAAUAAUUGUCGCUACGUGUAGUGAUUUGAAUGUACUGUAUGAGUAAGGAUCGGCUAACUCCGUGCCAGCAGCCGCGGUAAUACGGAGGAUUCGAGCGUUAUCCGGAUUUAUUGGGUUUAAAGGGUCCGUAGGCGGUUCUUUAAGUCAGUGGUGAAAUCCCAGAGCUCAACUCUGGAACUGCCAUUGAAACUGAAGAACUUGAAUAUGGUUGAGGUAGGCGGAAUACGUUAUGUAGCGGUGAAAUGCAUAGAUAUAACGUAGAACACCAAUUGCGAAGGCAGCUUACUAAGCCAUUAUUGACGCUGAUGGACGAAAGCGUGGGGAGCGAACAGGAUUAGAUACCCUGGUAGUCCACGCCGUAAACGAUGAUUACUCGUUGUGCACAAUACAUCGUGCGUGACUGAGCGAAAGCAUUAAGUAAUCCACCUGGGGAGUACGUUCGCAAGAAUGAAACUCAAAGGAAUUGACGGGGGCCCGCACAAGCGGAGGAACAUGUGGUUUAAUUCGAUGAUACGCGAGGAACCUUACCUGGACUUAAAUGUAGAUUGACCCACUUAGAAAUAGGUGUUCUCAACGGAGCAAUUUACAAGGUGCUGCAUGGUUGUCGUCAGCUCGUGCCGUGAGGUGUCGGGUUAAGUCCCAUAACGAGCGCAACCCCUAUCGUUAGUUGCUAGCAGGUAAUGCUGAGGACUCUAGCGAGACUGCCACCGUAAGGUGAGAGGAAGGUGGGGAUGACGUCAAAUCAGCACGGCCCUUACGUCCAGGGCUACACACGUGUUACAACGGCCGAUACAAAGGGCAGCUACCUGGUGACAGGAUGCUAAUCUCUAAAGUCGGUCUCAGUUCGGAUCGGAGUCUGCAACACGACUCCGUGAAGUUGGAUUCGCUAGUAAUCGUAUAUCAGCAAUGAUACGGUG